rnacentral:misc_RNA from 1 species
UCCUCUUUACAGAGGCAGUUUCGUCCGAGUUCCCGCCAUUACGCGCUGGCAACAGACAAUGAGGGUUGCGCUCGUUGCGGGACUUAACCCAACAUUUCACAACACGAGCUGACGACAGCCAUGCACCACCUGUGGAUCACCCUCGAAGGCGACUCGCUUUCACGAGCUUGCAGAUCCAUGUCAAACCCUGGUAAGGUUCUUCGCGUUGCAUCGAAUUAAGCCACAUGCUCCACCGCUUGUGCGGGCCCCCGCCAAUUCCUUUGAGUUUCAACCUUGCGGCCGUAGUCCCCAGGCGGUUCACUUAAUGCGUUAGCUGCGGCACCGAGGCUUACGCCCCGACACCUAGUGAACAUCGUUUAUGGCUAAGACUAC